rnacentral:rRNA from 1 species
UACGAAGGGGGCUAGCGUUGCUCGGAAUCACUGUGCGUAAAGGGUGCGUAGGCGGGUCUUUAAGUCAGGGGUGAAAUCCUGGAGCUCAACUCCAGAACUGCCUUUGAUACUGAGGAUCUUGAGUUCGGGAGAGGUGAGUGGAACUGCGAGUGUAGAGGUGAAAUUCGUAGAUAUUCGCAAGAACACCAGUGGCGAAGGCGGCUCACUGGCCCGAUACUGACGCUGAGGCACGAAAGCGUGGGGAGCAAACAGG